AGUGAACGCUGGCGGUAGGCCUAACACAUGCAAGUCGAACGGCAGCACAGUAAGAGCUUGCUCUUACGGGUGGCGAGUGGCGGACGGGUGAGGAAUGCAUCGGAAUCUACUUUUUCGUGGGGGAUAACGUAGGGAAACUUACGCUAAUACCGCAUACGACCUACGGGUGAAAGCAGGGGAUCUUCGGACCUUGCGCGAUUGAAUGAGCCGAUGUCGGAUUAGCUAGUUGGCGGGGUAAAGGCCCACCAAGGCGACGAUCCGUAGCUGGUCUGAGAGGAUGAUCAGCCACACUGGAACUGAGACACGGUCCAGACUCCUACGGGAGGCAGCAGUGGGGAAUAUUGGACAAUGGGCGCAAGCCUGAUCCAGCCAUACCGCGUGGGUGUAGAAGGCCUUCGGGUUGUAAAGCCCUUUUGUUGGGAAAGAAAAGCAGCAGGUUAAUACCCCGCUGUUCUGACGGUACCCAAAGAAUAAGCACCGGCUAACUUCGUG
rnacentral:rRNA from 1 species